rnacentral:rRNA from 1 species
UUGCCUAAUAACAUGCAAGUCGAUACGCGAAAGUCACCGCAAUGGGAUAAGUAGAGUGGCAAACGGGUGAGGUAAACGCAGUGGGUGACCUGCCUAGAGUGGGGAGGAAUAACGUCCCGAAAGGGACGCUAAUAACCUGCAUGACAUCCUGUCCCUUGAACGGAUUGGAGAGCAAAGCCGGGGAACCGCAAGAACACUGGCGCUUGAAGAGGGGCCCGCGUCCGAUUAGCUAGUUGGUGGGUGUAACGGGCUCACCAGGCAACGAUCGGAUUAGCCGUGCCUGAGAGGGCGGACGGCCACACUGGGACUGAGACACGGCCCAGACUCCUACGGGAGGCAGCAGUAGGGAAUUGUUCGCAAUGGGCGCAAGCCUGACGACGCAAGCGCCGCGUGGAGGAUGAAGAUAUUCGGGUCGUAAACUCCUUUCGAUUGGGGAUCUGAAUGCCUUUGUGGGUGAAUAAUCCCUGAAGGGUGGACGGUACCCGAGAGAAGAAGCCCCGGCUAAAUACUCCGUGCCAGCAGCCGCGGUAAUACGGGGGGGGCGCAGCGUUUGUUCGGAAUUACUGGGGCGUAAAGGGCCUCGUAGGGCGGCCAACUAAGUCCAGACGAUGAAAUCCCUCGGCUUAACCGGGGAAACUGCGUCUGAUACUGGAUGGCUUUGCAGUUUGGGAGAGGGAGCGGAAUUCCAGGUUGUAGCGGUGAGAAUGCGCAGAUAUCAGGAAGAAUCACCAAUGGCUGAAAGCAGCUUUCUGGGACGGUUACUGACGCUGAGACGCGAAAGGCGUGGGGAGCGAACAGGAUUAGAUACCCUGGUUAGUCCACGCCAGUAAACGAUGGCGCUAGGUUGGGCGGUGUCGACUCCGUCCGUGUCCGAAGCUAACGCAUUAAGCGCCCCGCCUGGGGAAGUACGGCCGCAAGGCUAAAAACUCAAAGGAAUUGACGGGGGCCCCGCACAAGCAGCGGAGCAUGUGGUUUAAUUCGACGCAACGCGAAGAUACCUUACCAGGGCUUGACAUGCACUGGGAAAUUGCGUAGAAAUACGUAAGCCCUUCGGGGGCUCGUGCACAGGUGGGUGCAUUGGCUGUCGUCAGCUCGUUGUCGUGAGAUGUUGGGUUAAGUCCCGCAAACGAGCGCAACCCCCUUGUCCUAUGUUGCCAAGCGAGUUAGUGUCGGGGACUCCAUAGGGAGACUUGCCGGUGACAAACCGGAAUGAGAGGGUGGGGAUGACGGUCAAGUCAUCAAUGCCCCUUAUGUUCUGGGCUAUCCACUACAGUGCUACAUUGGCCGGUACAAAGGGCUGCAAACACCGCGAGGGGGAGCGAAUCCCAAAAGCCGGUCCCGGUUUCGGAUUGAAGGCUGAAAAUACGCCUUCAUGAAGGCGGAGUUGCCUAGUAUAAUCGCGGAUCAGCAAAUGCCGCGGUGAAUAACGUUCCCGGGCGCUUGUACACACCGCCGUCACACCAACACGAAAGCCGGUAACUUACCCGAAGCCGGUGUCCUUAACCCGCAAGGGAGGGAGGCCGUCGAAGGUGGGACUUGGUGAUUGGUGGUG